GACGAACGCUGGCGGCGUGCUUAACACAUGCAAGUCGAACGGAAAGGCCCUGCUUUUGUGGGGUGCUCGAGUGGCGAACGGGUGAGUAACACGUGAGUAACCUGCCCUUGACUUUGGGAUAACUUCAGGCAACUGGAGCUAAUACCGGAUAGGAACUCCUGCUGCAUGGUGGGGGUAGGAAAGUUUAGGCGGUUGGGGAUGGACUCGCGGCUUAUCAGCUUGUUGGUGGGGUAGUGGCUUACCAAGGCUUUGACGGGUAGCCGGCCUGAGAGGGUGACCGGCCACAUUGGGACUGAGAUACGGCCCAGACUCCUACGGGAGGCAGGAGUGGGGAAUAUUGCACGAUGGGCGGAAGCCUGAUGCAGCAACGCCGCGUGCGGGAUGACGGCCUUCGGGUUUUAAACCGCUUUCGCCUGUGACGAAGCGUGAGUGACGGUAAUGGGUAAAGAAGCACCGGCUAACUACGUG
rnacentral:rRNA from 1 species